rnacentral:lncRNA from 1 species
AAAUCCCUGUCAAAUUGACGUGCCAUGGUUACUUGGCCUUUUCGGAAGAAGUCUCUGGAGUGAGCAUGAGCAUGCAUAAAUGUGUGUGUAGAGGGGGUUUACGAACAUAGAUUUGGUUCCCUAAGGCCAAGGGGCGCUCAGCCUCCUGGGGCUCUUCGUGCACCGGUUGCUAACAAACGGAGGGCGAGGACGUGGAGAGGGGCGAGGUGCGCAAGGAAAGCGCGCGCGGGCGGGGGGAAGAAUGAGAUGGAAGUACGAUCCCCGCGAGGAGGGGUUGUUGGGCAAGGAGAGGACCGGUCGAAACGAGCCCACGAGCGAGCGUGGGCGAGGAGGGAAAGUGAUAGCCAGGGCGGCUGGUAAAGAAAGGCGCCGCGUCCUCAUUCCGAGACGGUCGCUGCCGGCAGUCGGCUGAGAGGAGCCCGCUGCACUGUCUCUCCUCAAGCGAAGUGAAGUGAAGGCGACGCGGUCUGAGCGAGAACCGUCGGAAGAGCUCAGGACCGGCACAGCCCCGCGACCGAAAGCCGGGCUCUCCUGCUCUCCCCCCCCCCACGAGGCGCUCAGCCGGGUGUCCCUCUCUGAGGUGCUCCCUUUGCCGGCUGCCGAGAAGAAACUUCCAGGCGUCACGACCAGGGAGCUGGGAGGACCGGUCGGGCCGUGUGUGCGUCUCUCUGGGAGGAUUCCCGCCUCUUUCCCUCCGCCGCUGGUGGGUGUGAACACCAGCGGCAACCAGUGGCUCCCUCUCCGGCUUGGCGGGCACGAGGGAGCGGGCUUCGUCGGCUCGCGCUCCUCCUGCUCGGGGAUCCGCUCGCAGCCUCUGGCGGGCUUCGCGGCGGAGCAAAGUUUCUUCGGUCUGAACCCGAGGUCGGGAUUCAUGGAAUGAAUGGUAAACACCUCUCUGUCUCUGAUGGCUGCCAAAGACGUAGUUAUCCUAGCAACAAUAAGAGCAUGAAAGCUACAAGGCAUGAACCUGCUAAUAUGGUACCUAUUCAAAAGCUUGCUUGACUAUUCUGAGUAUUGGAAAUAACUCUUGACUUUAAUAGUAUGCUUUAAAUAAAUAAAUUGAAUCCCAAAUAAAGUACCUUGGU